CCUACGGGAGGCAGCAGUGGGGAAUAUUGGGCAAUGGGCGCAAGCCUGACCCAGCAACGCCGCGUGAAGGAAGAAGGCUUUCGGGUUGUAAACUUCUUUUAAGAGGGAAGAGAAGAAGACGGUACCUCUUGAAUAAGCCACGGCUAACUACGUGCCAGCAGCCGCGGUAAUACGUAGGUGGCAAGCGUUGUGCGGAUUUACUGGGUGUAAAGGGCGUGCAGCCGGGAAGACAAGUCAGAUGUGAAAUCCCGCGGCUCAACCGCGGAACUGCAUUUGAAACUGUUUUUCUUGAGUACCGGAGAGGUCAUCGGAAUUCCUGGUGUAGCGGUGAAAUGCGUAGAUAUAAGGAAGAACACCAGUGGCGAAGGCAGAUGACUGGACGGCAACUGACGGUGAGGCGCGAAAGCGUGGGGAGCAAACAGGAUUAGAUACCCUAGUAGUC
rnacentral:rRNA from 1 species